rnacentral:rRNA from 1 species
GACGAACGCUGGCGGCGUGCUUAACACAUGCAAGUCGAACGGAAAGGCCCUGCUUUUGUGGGGUGCUCGAGUGGCGAACGCGUGAGUAACACGUGAGUAACCUGCCCUUGACUUUGGGAUAACUUCAGGAAACUGGGGCUAAUACCGGAUAGGAGCUCCUGCUGCAUGGUGGGGGUUGGAAAGUUUCGGCGGUUGGGGAUGGACUCGCGGCUUAUCAGCUUGUUGGUGGGGUAGUGGCUUACCAAGGCUUUGACGGGUAGCCGGCCUGAGAGGGUGACCGGCCACAUUGGGACUGAGAUACGGCCCAGACUCCUACAGGAGGCAGCAGUGGGGAAUAUUGCACAAUGGGCGGAAGCCUGAUGCAGCAACGCCGCGUGCGGGAUGACGGCCUUCGGGUUGUAAACCGCUUUCGCCUGUGACGAAGCGUGAGUGACGGUAAUGGGUAAAGAAGCACCGGCUAACUACGUG